rnacentral:misc_RNA from 1 species
GAUAAGCAAUAAAAUCAAAACAUUAUCAAAAUCGCUAAAUCAAUAAACUGAUAAUAACUUUUUUUUAGUUCGGAUUAUCAGUUAUGAUAACUAGUGUUAAUCACCAUGCACCCCUAUAGUUGUAGUAACUGUUCAGACUAAUAAGUUGUUCUGCAUUUCCCUCUUGAAUUCGGCAUAGUCUGUGAGCAAGCUACCGUUCACUUUACUCUUCAUGUUCUGCAGUAGUCCCCUUAGCACCGACUCUGCAACAUCUCUACGAACAGCUUCAGGGACUAAAGCUAGGACGUGGGGAAGAACAAAGCUAAUACUCAUCUGUAGUUGACCUUUCAGCCUGGUCCGUGGUCCAUUUCUGUCGGGGUAAAGAGAGCCUUUUACACCAAGUGAGAACUCAGAUGGCUUCAGCACAUCAUCCAACCCCUGAAGCUCCCAUCUUAUUAUGUCGAGUUCAAGAACCUUAGAAACAGUAUUGGGGACCCCCGGUGGGUACUCGACUCCUCUGGUUUUACAUCUCAAUCUCAUAUCAAUAACUGGAAAGACAGUGAUCAACAGGAACUCUAUGGGUAGCAUGUGAAUUCUCCACUCUUCCUGAUUGCCUUGAAGCGGAGAUGCAACGAAACAGGACAACCUCACAGCUGAAUUGCUCAAACUUCUUCCGGAAGUAGAACUAACAUGGGACCUACUUAAAACCCCGAUAUCUUUGUUUGCUGAACUACAUUCUUCACUUUGUUUUCCGAACAGAUAUUGUGUUCAUCAACAAGAGACUCAGAUUUAUAAAUAC